GUCCUCGGAAAGUCCUGUAGUUUAAGUACCAUGAAGAAAACAAAGCUGAGUGACAUUUGGGGAGGGAUGGAGGAGCGGAGGGAGAGGGCCCUGUGAAGAGCAGAAAUCUGCAUCGUAAAGACAGGAGUGCUGGAAACUCCCAGAAGAAUAUAUUCCAGGCAGAGACAGGGGAAAAAAAAAAAAAAAAAAGAGAAACAGGGGUGUUUCGGGAAAGCCAAGCCAAUUUUGAACCUGCUUGCGAGGCUCCUAGGGAUGUAGCUAUGACCUGUCGCUGGCUGCUGUGGAGAGAACGCCGGGGGCACUUUUGGCUUGAUUAGCCUCUCUGGGAGGGAACACAAUGGCCCUGAAGAAUCGCAGAAGUGAAUGGAGCUGAGCGGACGCUCCUCAGGUGACAUCCCCGCAGAAGGGCCCAACGAUGGCAGCCACCUCACAGGGCUGGCAGGACACCUGUGCACACGGAGCACUGGCGCCUGGUAGCCAGGGGACAGUCAGCAAAAGUCAGCUGCAGUGAUUGCUACCAUGCUCCCUUUUCCAAAUCGGCUCCUCCAGCUCAUUGUGGCACCCGCCUGGCGAGAAGGCUUUCCUCCUCAUCCUCCUCGUGGAAAUCUUCCUUUGGGGGGUCUCGCAGGAGCCACGGAGUCAGCUUGGACCAGGAGCGCACUUCUAGGCGCUCUGAUGCGGCGGGCGGGUUGCAGAGUCCGGCAGCUGAAGGGAGGGGAGGCUCAGUGAGAUCUGCGCCUUUGGUCCCUGGAGAUGCUGGCAAAGCUGAUAUGCCAGUGUUGAGAAUGAAAGCAUCUCAGGAGACCAUCUGGUGCUGCCCUGGGCUUUCAGAGGUUAAGCUCUCCUGACCCCCAGGAGACUGCUGAGGUCUUGAGAGGUUAAGUGAUGUGCUCCGGAUCUCACAGCUGACCUGGAGGAGGGCCCUGUGUGUGCGCAUGUGUGUGAACUAGAACAUGGGGAGCCUCCUUCCAGAAUUGACUGUUGUUUUUUUUUAAUUAUUUGAAGAAAAUUCUGACAUAUAGGAAAGGACCCACAUUUAAAACAGCUAACAUUUAGUGUUAUUUGCUGCCUAUGUCUUUUUUCUUUCUGUAGUCUUUAAAAGUCACACAGGGAAUGUAUGUGUUAAUGCUCAUG